rnacentral:rRNA from 1 species
GAAUAACACGAGGAAACUUGUGCUAAUACCGGAUAAGUCUUUACGGAGAAAGCUUUAUGCACCAUUGGAUGAGCCCGCACUUGAUUAGUUUGUUGGUGGGGUAAUGGCCUACCAAGACUGUGAUCAAUAGCUGAUUUGAGAGGAUGAUCAGCCACAUUGGGACUGAGACACGGCCCAAACUCCUACGGGAGGCAGCAGUGGGGAAUCUUGCACAAUGGAGGAAACUCUGAUGCAGCGAUGCCGCGUGAGUGAAGAAGGCCUUUGGGUUGUAAAGCUCUUUCGUCGGGGAAGAAAAUGACUGUACCCGAAUAAGAAGGUCCGGCUAACUUCGUGCCAGCAGCCGCGGUAAUACGAAGGGACCUAGCGUAGUUCGGAAUUACUGGGCUUAAAGAGUUCGUAGGUGGUUGAAAAAGUUGGUGGUGAAAUCCCAGAGCUUAACUCUGGAACUGCCAUCAAAACUUUUCAGCUAGAGUAUGAUAGAGGAAAGCAGAAUUUCUAGUGUAGAGGUGAAAUUCGUAGAUAUUAGAAAGAAUACCAAUUGCGAAGGCAGCUUUCUGGAUCAUUACUGACACUGAGGAACGAAAGCAUGGGUAGCGAAGAGGAUUAGAUACCCUCGUAGUCCAUGCCGUAAACGAUGUGUGUUAGACGUUGGAAAUUUAUUUUCAGUGUCGCAGCGAAAGCGAUAAACACACCGCCUGGGGAGUACGACCGCAAGGUUAAAACUCAAAUGAAUUGACGGGGACCCGCACAAGUAGUGGAGCAUGUGGUUUAAUUCGAAGAUACGCGCAGAACCUUACCAACACUUGACAUGUUCGUCGCGACUCUAAGAGAUUAGAGUUUUCGGUUCGGCCGGACGAAACACAGGUGCUGCAU